AAUCUCAUUCUGCUUCUCUUGAUCUUUUUGACUAAUACUGGAUUUUUACCCCAAAAUCAUCCUUGCAGGCAUGCUCUGAGGAAAUCCAUGACAGAAGUAAAGACUGCACAGGCUCACAGGUCCUCCCUGGGUACAGUUUGCAAUAGACUUAAAAAAACCUGCUCCUGACUCCAAAGUUCCAUGUUUUGGGGAAUCUUUGGACUACUUGAACCAGCAAGAAAUCCUUGGCACCAUAGGGGCAGGAAACUCAGAAAUAAAUGCUACCCUCAUAGCAGAAAGGGAUAUUUUUCAGGCAGGAGUAGAUAAUAGCCUGGAUUAAGUCUGAUAGAAGCCCCAAAGAACAUGACACCCCCCAUUGCACCCCAAAGGUCACAAUCCCAUCAGAGGGGAACUGGGGGAGUGUGAAAGGAGCAGCAGCAAAUAACCCCUGCUCUUUGGAGCCAUGGCCACAUGUGGGAGAUGAUAGGAGAGCAAGCACCCUGCUGGAGAAUGGAGCCAUUUUCUGCAUCAGAGCUCUUUUUCAGGCUUCCUGCAGACUCCAAGACAGGAAUUGUUUCAUAGACUGUGCUCUGACCAGGCUUUUUGGGGGAUUCCAAAGUGAAUAUAUUUUCUUUGCUAAAGAAGGGCAAGCUGAGAGUUCCUGCUCUUAUGACUCAAGGAUCUGAGGCUCUAGUUUUUCAUCAUGGCUCUUAUUUUAUUUUUUUUUUUGGAUGCUGAAUAUUUUUGUCCUUCCACAGGUGGUAGCACACACAUGGGGAGCUGCACUGGCAGGCAGGGGGACAGAGCAGUCAGUGAUCACAGGUGCCUGUGGCAAAGUGAGACACUUCAUUUUCCUCCCCAGAGGUGCUACAGGUUAUCCCCACAUCUGACACCUCUUCUGGAUCCUUCUCCAUUGGGUGACCAGCCUGAAGCCUACAGACCUUGAACUGCCUGCAGCACAUUGGGACUGUGGAAGAAAGUCUUUGAAUGAGGCACAGAGUCACAUUCUGGUAUAUGAAUUGUUUCUGUACCUACAAAGCCAGCCCACACCAUCAGAGUGCUCUGCAACAUCCUGUCCUCAAUCUCUGCACAUGGAAAUAGCAGGAAAAUGGAUUCAUAGAAUCAUUAGGGUCAAAAACACUUCUAAGAUCACUGAGCCCAUCUAUUCACCCAGCACUGCCAAGCCCACCAUGAAACCACAUCCCCAAAUGCCACAUCUACAUAUCUGAAAUCCCUCCAGGGAUGGUGACUCCACCACUGCCCUGGGCAGCCUGUUUCACUGCUUGACAUCCCUUCAGCAACAAAACUAUUCCAAAAAUCCAAUCUAAACCUCUCCUGGCACAGCUUGAGGCCAUUUCCACUUGUCCCAUCACCUGGGAGAAGAGACCAACUCCCACCUGGCUGCAGCCUCCCUGCAGGGAGUUGCAGAGAACAGCAAAGUCCCCCUGAGUCUCCUGCUCUCCUGACUGAACAACCAGCAGUCACAGCCUGGGGCUUCUGUGCUAUCCAUUAGAAAAAGGCAAAAUGCUAAUUGUGGGUCAGGUGUUUAAAGCCAAAAUUACUUGGGGUUUUUGGCUUUUCCACAACAUAUUUCAUUGGUUUCUGAGGAGAGCUCCAAACUGAAAACUAACAGCAUCUCCAGCUGGGUGUGUAUUCUGUAGUCAAUCUAACCUCAAUUUGGAAUUGCCCUUCCUUGAAAAAAGUCUUAGGAACAAUUAAACAAAAAUACACGAAAUUAAGUGAAGAGCUUUUACCAAAAUUCCUUUGGCCAACAGCACUUUUUCUGUUGAGUGAAUGUCGAGCACAGCAGAAGAUGCUGAGAGACUCCUGCCUGUGGUCUCAGGAGCAGUAAGAGUCAACAUCUUCAGAGGCAGGAAUCACUCCUGUGAGUGAAGAGAGGCUGCUUGUACCCCUCUCUGUACCUCUGCCUUUCAGCCUGUUGUCACCCUGAUUUUAUAAGUUUUUCUCAGCCUUCUGAUGUUUACAUUCUUGUGGCAAACUUUCUCACACACUUUCUGUAAAUAACUUAUUGUUUUGCAUUCUUUAUGGAGAAGGAGAAAUUUGAUGGACUGUUGGUUUGUCCAGUGUCAUUGGAGAGGUGUGAGAGGUGUCAUUGUCACUUUUGGAAAACUAUUAAUGUUGGAGUCAGAAAAUAAACUUCCCUUUUUCUUUACCUUGAGAGCA
ensembl:lncRNA